AGUUCGAUCGUAACCAGAUUGAACGCUGGCGGGAUGCUUUACACAUGCAAGUCGAACGGCAGCACGGACUUCGGUCUGGUGGCGAGUGGCGAACGGGUGAGUAAUGUAUCGGAACGUGCCUGGCUGGCGGGGUAAUAACUGCACGCGAAGCGUCGCUAAUGCACCGCAUGCCCCUUCAGGGGAAAGCAGGGGACCUUCGGGCCUCGCACUAUUAAAACAGCCGAUAUCGGAUUAGCUAGUUGAACCAGGGUAACGGCUCACCAAGGCGGCGUCCGUAGCUGGUUUGAGAGGACGACCAGCCACACUGCAGGACUGAGACACGGCCCAGACUCCUGGCGGGAGGCAGCAGUGGGGUACGGACUUAAUGGGGAAACCCUGAUCCAGCCAUCCCGCGUGUGCGAUGAAGGCCUUCGGGUUGUAAAGCACUUUUGGCAGAAAGAAACGGCACGGGAUAAUACCCCGUGCAACUGACAGUACCUGCAGAAUAAGCACCGGCGCUUACGUGCCAGCAGCCGCGGUAAUACGUAGGGUGCAAGCGUUAAUCGGAAUUACUGGGCGUAAAGCGUGCUGGCGGUUCGGAAAGAAAGAUGUGAAAUCCCGACUUAACUUUGGAACUGCAUUUUUAACUACCGAGCUAGAGUGUGGGGAGUGGAAUUCCGCGUAACAUGAUGAAAUGCGUAGGCGUGUGCGGAGGAGCACCGAUGAAAGGCAGCCUCCUGGGAUAACGCUGACGCUCAUGCGCAAGCGUGGGGAGCAAACAGGAUUACUGAUACCUGCGUGGUCCGCCUAAACGAUGUCAAACUAGCAUAUUGGGGCCUUCGGACCUUGGUACGUACAGCUAACGCUGAGAUUGACCUUACCAGAUGCGGUCGCAAGAUUAAAGCUACCGAGAAUUGACGGGGACCCGCACAAGCGGUGGAUGAUGUGGAUUAAUUCGGUACAGCGCGAAAAACCUUACCUCGACAUGUCUGGAAUCGAAGAGAUUUGGGAGUGCUCAAGAGAACCGGAGCUGGGUCUUCCCUUGGCUGUCGUCAGCUCGUGUCGUGAGAUGUUGGGUUAAGUCCCGCAACAGGCGCAGCCGCUAUCGUGGUUGCUACGAGAGGCACUCUAAUGAGACUGCCGACGGGCUCAAGCUCCCGGGGAAGGUGGGGAUGACGUCAAGUCCUCAUGGCCCUUAUGGGUAGGGCUUCACACGUCAUACAAUGGUCGGGACAGAGGGUCGCCAACCCGCGAGGCCAAUCCAAGCCCGAUCGUGAUCCGAGAUCCACAGAAGAUCUGCAACUCGACUGCACGUGAAAUUCAGAAUCUUCAGUAAUCGCGGAUCAGCAUGUCGCGGUGAAUACGUUCCCGGGUCUUGUACACACCACUUGUCACACCAUGGGAGUGGGUUUUACCAGAAGUAGUUAGCUAACCGUAAGGAGGAGCGAUUACCACGGUAGGAUUCAUGACUGGGGUGGAAGUCGUAACAAGGUAG
rnacentral:rRNA from 1 species